rnacentral:rRNA from 1 species
UACGUAGGGUGCAAGCGUUAAUCGGAAUACUGGGCGUAAAGCGUGCGCAGGCGGUUGUGCAAGACAGAUAUGAAAUCCCCGGGCUCAACCUGGGAACUGCAUUUGUGACUGCACGGCUGGAGUGCGGCAGAGGGGGAUGGAAUUCCACGUGUAGCAGUGAAAUGCGUAGAGAUCCGGAAGAACACCGGUGGCGAAGGCGGCCUGCUGGGACAUGGCUGACGCUGAGGCGCGACAGCGUGGGGAGCAAACAGG